GUGGGGAAUUUUGGACAAUGGGCGAAAGCCUGAUCCAGCCAUGCCGCGUGCAGGAUGAAGGCCUUCGGGUUGUAAACUGCUUUUGUACGGAACGAAAAGACUCCUUCUAAUAAAGGGGGUCCAUGACGGUACCGUAAGAAUAAGCACCGGCUAACUACGUGCCAGCAGCCGCGGUAAUACGUAGGGUGCAAGCGUUAAUCGGAAUUACUGGGCGUAAAGCGUGCGCAGGCGGUUAUAUAAGACAGAUGUGAAAUCCCCGGGCUCAACCUGGGAACUGCAAUUGUGACUGUAUAGCUAGAGUACGGUAGAGGGGGAUGGAAUUCCGCGUGUAGCAGUGAAAUGCGUAGAUAUGCGGAGGAACACCGAUGGCGAAGGCAAUCCCCUGGACCUGUACUGACGCUCAUGCACGAAAGCGUGGGGAGCAAACAGGAUUAGAAACCCUGGUAGUCC
rnacentral:rRNA from 1 species